GUGGAUCCAAGAGAGAGAGGGAGAGCGCCGGCAAAAAAGGAGGCCGCGGGUUGCCGGUUCGUCCACGAGCCGCCUCUAGAACCGCGAAGAGAAGGAGAAGCUCGCGCCACCGUCAACCCGUCGCCGCUGUUCGUCCUUGCCGCCGCCAGUUGCGCCGCCGCGAAGAAGAGAUGCGCGAAAGAGGAAAGGCCGGUUCUGUCACCACCGUCGUGCCGUGCUCCAUGCCGUCACCACCAUUAUUCUGUCACAAGAGAAGGAUGUGCGAGGGAGGAAACAGAAUCGCGAGGGUGCUCAGCCACGGAGAGAGGAGACGCACGUCGAAUCUGUCGCCGCCGGUCCGCCCACCGCCAAACCACGCCGCCGUCCGUGAGGCUUUCUCCAUCACCGCUGCCGAAGGUCGCCAUCGGAGCCACUGCUCCACUUCUGUCAUUCUUCUUUUUCCGGUGAGUUGUCGCGCCUUGAAGCUCCUUCUGUAAUUAUUCUAGCUACCUGUGGUUAAGGAUUCUGAUGUAUAGAUGUUGUAAGGUUAACUUUAUGGGUUUGCAUGUCAAAAAUUAAGGUUGUUGCUGAGCCACUGAAGCCCCUGGCCACUGUCAGAGCUGCUGCCGAUUAAGUUUGGGGUGGUUGGCGUGUCGUUCUUUUAUUCCAGUAAGUGUCUUUACCCCGGGAUCCUCGCCUUUGGUUUUCUGAUAUGUGUUUUGAGGUUUCCACGAUAUUGAUAUUUUAGGAAUUAGAAACCGGGCCCGCACGUCACGUUUGAGGCUGUUCUGCUUUUGCGGAAGUGAGCAGAGCUGAGGUUUUAGUUGCAUUGAUUUCGGGUCGAGAGGAAAGAAAUUUCUUAAGGCAUUUGGAUUGUGGUUUGAACGUGUCGAGGUAGGGGCUUUUUCAAAGAACUUAGUUUUAUGAUUUGGAGUUGUUAUAAAUGGAUAUUAAUGUGAUAAAUGUACUUUUGUGGUUAUAUAAGCCUUAUAUAUUGCUGAGCUAUUUUGUGAUGAACGUAUUUGUGGUUAUAUUGGAUUGCUGUUUGAUUUGGUUAUAUGGUUGGUUGCUGAAAUAUUCCAUUACAAUUUUGGAAAACGAGUUUGGUUCAUUGAAAAUGGAUUGAGUUUGGAUUUGAUUUCUUGAAUUAUGAGAAGGAUAUGAAUUUUCAAAAUUAGUCUGAUUUUAAACUGAUUUGGGUUUGAACCCGUGGAAGGGGUUGUAUAUUAGUUUGGUUGGGACCCGAAACGGGUGGCAAAAUCCAAGUUUUAGGGGAGAUGCUGCCGAAAUUUUAUGAAAUUCAAGAUUUUGUUUUAAGAUAUGAUUUAGAAAAGGACUGGAUUUGAGAGGUUCUGUUGUUUGGUUCUUGAUUUAUUAAGAAACAGGAGAUUCAAGUUUAAUCUUUUAAGGAAUGCUUAUGUUUUAAGUUUGAGUUAAACAUGAGGGGACUUAUGUUUUGAGGUUUGGUCAAAGAAAUACCUUUGGAGGAGUUUUAGCAGAUUUUAAAGGAAAUUGAGCUCUGAUUACUUAAUUUCGUAUUACUUUUGAAGUAUUCUUUAAAUUUUAACUAAACAAAUCCGAGCCUUUGGGAAAGUUUCUGAUUUAAGAAUGAAAAGAAAUUGGGUUUUUUGGACUUAAAUAAUGUUGGUUUUGAAACUGGUUCGGAACUUUUGGCCUAUAUGCCUUGGUUUUGGUUUUGAGUCUCCAUUUUAAAUGAUUUUAGUUUGAGUAAUUAUGAUUCCGAGGAUUUCUAAAGAGUUUGAGAAGUGAGGCAGGUUAUUCUUCCCUAAAGACUUGUGUCUUCUCAAAGAAAGUUCCAUUUUACGGUUAUGAUUGAAAGUCUCUUGGAAGUUUUGUAAAAUGUUAUAUUAAGCGACUAAGACUUGAAAAGGAAAUUGAUUUUGAGGAAAGUUGAAUUAUGAGUUUGAAGAGAUUUGAGAAAUAAAAAGUGACUUAUGGCUUGAAUGAUGAUUGGUUUAGUAUGAAAUGUUAAUGAAAUGCGGAAAUGAUGAUGGACGAAUGAUUAUGAAUAAACAUAUGUGGCUUCCGCACGUUUAUCUGAGAUACGAGUUCCCUGGGUAAAGAACCGUGGCUUGCCACCACGUGUUCUAGGUUGGAUCUCGAUACUCUGUUGACCUUACGUCGUAAGGGUGACCGGGAACGUAUAAAUUCCCGGGUAUGGAUAGCCCCCAGUGAGUGAUUUGAAUGAUGUAUGAAUGUAAAAUCUAUGCAUAGACUCAUGGGGAUGCGCGACGGGGGACAGUCUAAGGACAAUUCAUACUUGUCGGGUUGGCUGGAUAACCGACAGAUGAGCCUCAUCAGCCAUAGGACAGGCAUGCAUCAUAUGCAUUUGUAUGCUUUGUUUGGGUUUGAACUUGUUUGGGUUUGCCUAAUUGCUAAACUGUUCUUAACUGCUACUUGAACUAUUUGCUGUAACUGCUACCUACUUGUGCUUUCCUUGUCUGUCUUGCCUAUGUUUGUCCUGAUGUGCUACAUUUGAGAAUGAACUUUAGUGCUGAAUUAAUGAUUGUGUUGUUGAUUGCGUGGUUGGUUUCUGAUUGAGAUUUUCUUUUAAGAAAGGAAAGGUUUCAGAUUUCUGAAAGAUUAAACUUUUUUUCUUUGAAAAGGUUUUGAACGUUUACUUAAUGGUUUUUAAAAGAUUCAUAAGGCAUGAUAAUCUCUGAGUUUGAAAACAGUUUUCUUAUUAAAUAUCUUUUUAUGACAACUUUGAAACUCCGUGGUGAGACCGUGUGGUUAGGUUCUCACCCCCUACAGGUUUUUCCUUUUCAGGAUAUGGACGACGAAGCUUCAGAAGAGUUAUAUUCGUUUUCUGUUUAUUCGACAUUAUUUUGUAUGAUCUUAGUUUUUAUUUAUUUUUUCCCUCGCCUUUAUUUCUAGCGCAUUUUGCAAGAGGGAUAAGAGUUUUGAUGUGUGAAGUUUUUAUAUUGAUAUGAUGUGUAUAUAUAUGUAUGUAUAUGAAUUAUUUGUAAGUAUUGUAACGUAUGGAUGUAUGUUUCGAAUAUUCGGGAAAAUUUUAAACAGGCUCAUAUAGUACUAAAUAUUUCAAGAGUCGUUGUAAUACCCAAGCUAUCAGAGUGGCGCAGCCGGAAGUGUGACUUUUGAUAGUUAGGGUGUUACAUUAUGGUAUCAGAACGGUCCUUCCUGUAGAGCCUGAGGAAUGGACCGACUAUGCUUCAAUUGCAUACUCAGAGAGUCUGUCAUGUAGUAGGUCUUGUUUGGAUAACGAGAAUAGAGCUUUAUGCACAUGACGGUCUAUUGAUUAAUGCCAUUAGUCUUGUAUUACAUAAUUCCUGAUAUUAAGUUUGGCCGGCUUAACACUAGUGAAUUAUGUAUAUGUAGGCAUUAAUGGGUUAUCAUAGGCGAUAAACGAGUCAUAGAUAACGCGAGACGUGAGUUUUGGGAACGUUAGAAACUAAGUUCUAGAGAUAAGUUCCGUUUCGACGUAUAAUCUAUAUUCGUACUUGAUGUUAUCUCUUUCUUUAUUAAUUGUAUUGAAGUCUCAAGUUCUCUUGGUCUCUUUCUUGGAAUAUGUUCUCGAUAUUUUUCCAUCAUAUCUUGUCCUUCAUACAUAUCCUUGCUUGAUUAUGUUCCUACUUAUUGCUUGAAUCUUUAGGGAACAUUCAACUUUGACACUGUUCAUAAAUUCUGUAUUUCUUGAUUUGAUAUUGAAUUUAUUUUAGUGUAACGCAUAAUCCUUGAUUCCUAAACCGUUUGAAAUCUUAAGAGUUGCGAUUCUUAGCAAGCUAAUUACUCGAUUUGGUUCUCCUGUUUCGUGUUCUAUAACUUAUGCGUAUUUUGCUCAGAUUACAACCAUUGGCUUUAUGUUCCCGUACAAGAGUGAUAAACACUUUGACCUUGUUUUGAUGUAAUAUAUCACUGCUAGUAGUUUCUUCUGAAAUUUUUAUUUUGGAGCCUCUUUUGAAAAUAGUUCUAUUUGACUUUUUUUUUCCAGUUUAAUUCUGAUUGUAAUCAUUCUUUGAAUUCUGAAUACAAUAGCUUUUGAUUUUAUAAGUACUCUCCUAUAAGAAAUGAAUAAAUUCUUCGUAUAGUUAAAGCAUGUUUCUUUCUAAAAGUACUACUUACUCUUUAUUUAAUUUUAUAAGAAUAUUUUACCUUAGAUUUAUUCAUUUAAAUAUAAUUUGAUCCUUUUUCAAUUGGAAUUUUUAUGAAUAUAUAUUUACUUGACUAUGUACUUGCGUAUUCUUCAAACUUCCUGAAACAAGACUUUUGCUUUUAUUUCAGUUAACUUUCAUUUGACAAACUUCACUUAAUUUAUUUUUAAUUUGAAUUUGGUUUAGUAUGAUACAUUGCCUAUGCAAUUGUUGUUCUUUUGAAAGUAUUGGGCUCAUAUCCUUCCUCUUAGGAACAGACCAAUUCCUUUUUAAGCUUUUCACUUCUUUGAAUGAUAUACUUGGUUCUGUUUUUAAUUAUUCUUUUAUUGUUACAAACAUCACCAUUAGUCUUAGUUUUCCUUCUCUUGUGAAUCUCAUACUCGUCCGAGUCAUCCUGAAUUUAUUUCAAUCUAGUGCAACGUUUGUCCUCUUAUUUGUCUUUGUUUAAUCAAAGGUUCUUUCAUGAAAAUUCACUAUUAAUCGAGUGUCUUUCCUUACAAGUUUUGUAUUCUUUUGGAUCGAUUGAAAGCUUGUUUGAUAUCUCAUGCCUCUGGAUCUUGUUUAAACUCCCUUGAUUUAAAGAUCCUUUCUUCCAUGGGCUGAUUACCUUUUAAGCGCAUCGUAAUCUUCUUAAAUGAUUUUUGCGAGGUGGUUAUUCCAAGUAUACUUUCAAAAUUUUGUUUUCAACCAUUUUUGAAGAAGUUUUGAAUUCUUUUGAAAAAAAAAAUUAUUUAAGUUUUGAAUCAACCUUUUAAGCUGCUGAGUCCCUUUCUUGAAAUGAGUUGGUUUUCUUCUUAGUGCAUCUUAAUAUUAUUGAACAUCCUUAUAAAGCUGUGAUUUCAAGUAUAUUAUUGGAGUUUUGUUUUAAACCUUUUUAAACAAGUUUUGAUUUAUUCUUAUGCAAAGUUGUUCUUGACUUUGCAUUCCUUUACUUGAGCAGUACCUCUCUUUGAUAUGAUUUGAACUUGUCUUGGUGCGAUAUAACUGUCUAUUGAAGUUUUAAUAAAAUCGCUUUCAAUUCAGCCUACACUCCUUUACCUUAUACUCUGAAAAUUUCUGUAUGUGAUUUAAACCUGUUUGAUUGUAACGUAUCUUCUUUUAUUUUAUGAGUAAAACUCUAUCUCAGGUUUCCUUCCAACAAGAUUGUAGUUUUCAUAUAUGCUUGAAAAAGAAGAGAAAAUGCAAUGUUGCUCUUAGCUAAAUUAAUCUUUCCAUUUACAAAGUUUGUGUAAUCUAUUUCCACUUGAAUUUAUAUUGAGAUAAUGCCCCAUUUACGCUUUUAUUAAUCUUUUGAAGGAUGUUUGUUACCCAUUUUCUUUUUCAAAACAUGAAAUAACUUUCCCUUAAGUUUUCCAUUCUUUACGAACAAAGUAUUAGAAAGUAUUUUUUUUUAAACCAUACUCUUUAGUUCUAUAAGCUUUAUCUUUGGUUUUAAACACUCUUCUUCUGUAAACCUCAUAUUUCGAGACUCGACUUGAUUUUAUUUCAAACUACUGCACUACUUUUCUUUUUAUUAUUCCUAUCAGAUUUCAUUGAUUCGAGAGUCAUUCUUGAGAUUGCCGAACUAAUCUUCUUUCUGGCACUCUUCAUUCCUUGUGCAUACCUGCUUAUUUGUGAUCUCAACAAUUCUUUCAAGCUCUUGCGAAUUUUAUCCUUGUCGCUUGUCCUUUUCCAAGGUGUUAUAUCCUUCGAAUAAACUCGGAGAUAGCUUUAGAGUCACGUAUGACCUUUAGGCGUAAUAAGCGAAGCGUUAGUCUCUUUAGAAUGCAGUUCGUAAACGUGAAAAGGGAAAGCGGUAAAUAUGCAAUGUUAUAAGGAGUGUGGUAGUUUUGUUCCUCGUAAAAGUUUGCGGAUGAUUAUGCUUGUGGCGGUUAAGGGGUUGUGAAGUGACUGAUAGAAUUGGGAAGUUGAAAUUUUGGAGUUAGUACGAAAUGUAUGCGCAGACGUUAUCCUGUUUGUUCACGUCAACCUGUUUUCAAACUUCUGCCACCUAGUUACCCCUUUGUUUUUGCGAACACCUAACUUGAACACUUACACCUUCUUGUGCUCCAAGUUUUGGUAAAAUAGUAGCCCCUAUAACAUUUUUGCUAUGAACCAUCUUUUAACUUUAGACCAUAUUUUUCUCUUACACCUAAGUUUUAUGAAUUAUUCGGUAUUUGGAAAACUAUAUGCCUAUAUCUGCCAAGACCUCUAUUUUUCUAAAGUAUACCAAAGUAAAGUAUUCAAAACUAUUUUAGUAUUUUGUGUAUUAACUUAAUUUUCGAGGACGAAAAUUUUUAUAAGUGGGGUAAGACCCCUAAUUUUGAAAAGUUAUUAAUUAAAUAUUUAUGGUCUAUUAUAUUUAUUUAAAAUCAUAUUUUUAGAGAUUUUUAUACAUAAGUUGAGUAAAUUCUUAUUUAUUAUUUAGAGUUCUUAUAAAAGAAAAUAAAUAAAUAAAUAGUAAAUAUUUUAUAUGUCUUACUUUUAAAUAUUUAGAUUUCUAACCUUACUUUAUAAAUAAAGGAGAAUUAAAUUACUUAUCUCCAAUUUUUGUUAAUUUAGUAUUUGAAUGAAAAUAAUUUAGAAAUUGUAUUUAGAAGGUAUUUUUGAGAUAGAUACUCUAUAUUUAAUUUGGUUUUCAAUUAUUAUUCUAUUUUUAUUUAUUUUGAAAAAUUACAUUAUUAUCCCUAUUUUUAUUUAAAUUUCCUAAUCUACCCCACACCACCUCAAACCCUAACAAUACACUAACCUCACCCCACUCACACGGUGCACACACAACUCACCCACACUCACAGUAAAGAACAGAAAGAAGGGAAAAGAAAGAAAAUGGAGUGAGGGUUGCGAGAGAAGAGGGUGGAUCCAAGAGAGAGAGGGAGAGCGCCGGCGAAGGAGGAGGCGGCGGGUUGCCGGUUCGUCCACGGGCCGCCUCUAGAACCACGAAGAGAAGGAGAACCUCGCGCCGCCGUCAACCCGUCGCCGCUGUUCGUCCUUGCCGCCGCCAGCUGCGCCGUCGCGAAGAAGAGAUGCGCGAAAGAGGAAAGGCCAGUUUUGUCACCACCGCCGUGCCGUGCUCCAAGCCGUCACCACCACUGUUCU
rnacentral:lncRNA from 1 species